GUUGUUCAAAGCUGGGGGUAGAGGUGAACAGAGGAAUGACACCUGAGAUGCACAAAGAGGAAUCCUGAACAGUUUGAAUCCAACUCCAUUUCUGUUCUGAAAUUUUAAGCAAUGCCAGUUUAAAUUCCACCUCAGCAGGAGACAAAAUGAAGGUGAAACAGUCUGUGCUAUAUCCUUACACACUCAUCUAAAUACCUAUAUAGGAAAUAAAUUUAAAGGUUCACCAUGGCACAAAUGUAGUGUUCUCAUUUUCUAAACUGAAAUUAGAUCCUUCACAUAACACAGCCCUUGGUUCCUGUUUCUUUGUCCCUCUUCCAUAACUGGAUGCUAAUAUAUUCAACCUGAAUAUAAACUAACUGCUGUAGCAUUCCAGCACAGAUUGUGUUUACCCAGCUCUCAUUAAAAUGUGGAUUUAUA